UGGCAAUACAGUACAAAUAUAGUGUGUUUGAUUUGCACUGUAGUUGUAUUGUAUUGCCACU
rfam:Pongo abelii chromosome 13.